rnacentral:rRNA from 1 species
UGUACACGCUGUGACUAGCAUAUCAAUAAGCGGAGGAAAAGAAACUAACAAGGAUUCCCCUAGUAACGGCGAGUGAAGCGGGAAGAGCUCAAAUUUGAAAUCUUAAAGGGUUUCCCUUUACGAAUUGUAGUUUAAAGAAGUGUUUUCUGUUGAGGUUUUGGUAAAAGUUCUUUGGAAUAGGACAUCAUAGAGGGUGAGAAUCCCGUAUUUGACCUUUACUUUCAACUUUGUGAUACACUUUCAAAGAGUCGGAUUGUUUGGGAAUGCAGUCCAAAAUGGGUGGUAAAUUUCAUCUAAAGCUAAAUAUUGGCGAGAGACCGAUAGCGAACAAGUACCGUGAGGGAAAGAUGAAAAGAACUUUGAAAAGAGAGUUAAACAGUACGUGAAAUUGUCAAAAGGGAAGCGUUUGACACCAGUGUUGUUUUUCUGAAAAUCAAUUAAAGAACUGUUUAUGCUAAGCUGUUUAGACUUUAUCAGCUAAUCUGUUUAGUUUUGAGCUUUUCUUUAAUGCACUUUUCAGUUAACAAGUCAACAUCAAUUUCUUUUGCUGUAAAAAAGCUUGAGGAAGGUGGCUUGAGAUUCGUCUUAAGUGUUUAUAGCCUCUUGCCUAUGCAGUCGGAGAGAUUGAGGUCUGCAGCGUAGAUCCUUCGGGGCUAAAUGCAUUUGUGCUAAGUUAUAGCAUUUUAUAGACAACUUGUUGACUAUGAUUUGUCUUGUAGCUUACUCGCUUAUGUUAUUUUACCUACGCUUAGGAUGUUGAAGAUGUAGCACAUCAU